rnacentral:rRNA from 1 species
ACCCGCACAAGCGGUGGAUGAUGUGGAUUAAUUCGAUGCAACGCGAAAACCUUACCUACCCUUGACAUGUCCGGAAUCCCGAAGAGAUUUGGGAGUGCUCGCAAGAGAACCGGAACACAGGUGCUGCAUGGCUGUCGUCAGCUCGUGUCGUGAGAUGUUGGGUUAAGUCCCGCAACGAGCGCAACCCUUGUCAUUAGUUGCCAUCAUUUGGUUGGGCACUCUAAUGAGACUGCCGGUGACAAACCGGAGGAAGGUGGGGAUGACGUCAAGUCCUCAUGGCCCUUAUGGGUAGGGCUUCACACGUCAUACAAUGGUCGGUACAGAGGGUUGCCAACCCGCGAGGGGGAGCUAAUCCCACAAAGCCGAUCGUAGUCCGGAUCGCAGUCUGCAACUCGACUGCGUGAAGUCGGAAUCGCUAGUAAUCGUGGAUCAGCAUGUCACGGUGAAUACGUUCCCGGGUCUU